rnacentral:rRNA from 1 species
CGCGUGGGUAACCUGCCCUAUACACAUGGAUAACAUACUGAAAAGUUUACUAAUACAUGAUAAUAUAUAUUUACGGCAUCGUAGAUAUAUCAAAGUGUUAGCGGUAUAGGAUGGACCCGCGUCUGAUUAGCUAGUUGGUGAGAUAACUGCCCACCAAGGCGACGAUCAGUAGCCGACCUGAGAGGGUGAUCGGCCACAUUGGAACUGAGACACGGUCCAAACUCCUACGGGAGGCAGCAGCA